UACGUAGGUCCCGAGCGUUGUCCGGAUUUAUUGGGCGUAAAGCGUGCGCAGGUGGUUUAUUAAGUCUGGUGUAAAAGGCAGUGGCUCAACCAUUGUAUGCAUUGGAAACUGGUAGACUUGAGUGCAGGAGAGGAGAGUGGAAUUCCAUGUGUAGCGGUGAAAUACGUAGAUAUAUGGAGGAACACCGGUGGCGAAAGCGGCUCUCUGGCCUGUAACUGACACUGAGGCUCGAAAGCGUGGGGAGCAAACAGG
rnacentral:rRNA from 1 species